UAAACUUGCCAGAAGUCAUUUUCCAAAUCGAGCGGACGCUCCCAAACCCUCAUCUCUCAAAACCAUUCUCUCAUCUUCCUUCCUCCCUACAAAAACUGAACAUCUCUAUCUUCACUGCCCCAGCGAAUCUAGUGAAUGCCGUCCUCAUAGGAAGAAGGUAAGGCAGCCAUUAAUGGCGGCAACAACCUUCUAUAAAAGAACCCAUUAAGAUUAAAUACCUAUUAGGGGUUUUAUUUUUCACCAUCCUCAAAGAAAAGGGAGGCUACCAUCACUGCCGAUUUCAGCAAGGGCUUUCUCCAUUGCUGCCGUAGUGAUAGAUGGCUGCCAUGUAUUGAUGGUCCGUGGUGCAACGUAUUGCAAUUGGAGCUGUCGACCGCUGAAGGAAUCGACUCUUGUCGCCAUUGAUUUCGACAGUGGUGGCUGUCAGUGUUGGAGGAGAUGUUGAAAGCAGGGUUAUCCAUGAGAAGGAGCUAGUAGACGGGUUUACGGCUAGGAUUUUCAACCUUAUUGAUUACCCGAAGCAGAUUCCUAGUGUUGAUGAUUUUUUGCUGUUCGAUCAGGUGAUGGUACACGGUGGAAGCGACAUAUAUGGUCAGUUGAGGGAGCCAUGAAAAAUUUUCAGCACCAGUCCAAAUGCUGGAAGGAGAAAGGUCAUUGUCAGCAUCUGGCUACAUGCACGUUCCAUUGCUCAGUUGAUGAAGCUGAGCCGGCCGCCAUUGGUGGGCUGUUUUGACUGGCUUUGAAGUUCUGCAGGCUGUGACAGCACUCUUGAACAGAUCAAUUUCCAGGCCUGCUGGUUUUUAUUUAGAUACGCCAAAGAUGCUGCUAAUUGGCUGGAUUGAGGAAAUCAAUCAACGGCAAGCAAAAGUACUAGAUGCCCAACUGACGGUUGACCAGCUUCAACAACGAGAUCAGUUGCUCACAGCCCAAAAUGAGAUGUUGAAGGUGUGGAGAAUUCCUUUUUAUAUUGUUCGAGUUCAUUACCAUCUACCGUACCUUGCUUUAAUGAUGUUUGCUAUCACUUCUACCUUUUGUAUAAAUGGACAAGGCUAAUCUCAAGAGGAAGGUUGCAGAAUUGGAUGAGAUGGUGAAGAAACUUUUUGGAUCACAAGAUAUCCAAAAAUGGGUUCACCAACCCACGAAGAUCCAGGCAUGAACACAUAUAUGAAUUGAUUUUUUAUUUUUUAUUUUUUCCAAAUUCUAUAUGCCAAAGUUUACUCAAUCUUGCAGGAGAACAGCUUUCUGAGGAUCGGCAAAGAGGAACUUUCCAAGAGGCUAGCCCAUUCUAUAUGCCCUAUGAAUGCUAAGGAAAUUACAUUUGGAACUCCUGUAACUGCACUAUUGAGCCCAAGCCCUAUGAAUGCUAAGGAAAUUACAUUUGGAUAAUUUGGUCUUUGUACCAACGGGUUUUAAAAAAUAAGGAGCUCUUUGCUGUGAAAUAUAUAGAGAGAGGGCAGAAGGUCAGAGAGACCUCUUGGAUUUCAAAAAUCGCUCUUUCUUUGCCUUUUCCCAUCUAGGUUUUGUUUCUUGAUGGUUGUGGCAUUCAUAAUUCAAAUUAAACCAAGUAAAUUUUGGAAACCACUAUUGCUAAGUUACAGUCUGAAAAUCAGAUUAGUUGAGCAGUCCUAGCCCCUGACUCGUUGAUGCCUGUUUGUUGAAACCAUUGGAUAUUUUUCAUUUUUUAGACAUUCCAAUAAAUUUCCACCAAUCUGAUAGAUAAUCAAAUAAGCUUAACUUUUGGUUCGUCUUUUUUUUUUUUUUUUCAAUGCAUCUUGAUUUGGUUUUUAUGUUGUGCAAGGUUGUUUGGAAUGUUGUUCAAAAAUCCACUAUUGAAAAUCCUAACUUCCAAGAAUCUAUGCUGCGCCAAACGACUGCUUGGAAAAAACUGCUAAAUGCAGCAAUAAGAGGUUGGUUUUCUUAAUUAUGUUAUUUGUUUUGUAGGGGAUUUGGAUUGGAAUGUUGUUCGGCACGGUUGUUCAUACUCUUGUACUAUCUUACCUUACAUGGAGAACUGACUGGGACAAUCAGCAGGUACCAUAAUUUGGACAGUUUCUUAACCUAUGCUGCUCAAUCACCUUGGAUACAGAGCAUGAAAAUCGAAGAAAAUAUAUUGUUUGGUAAGGAAAUGGAUAGGGAGAAGUAUGAGCAUGUUCUUGAAGUGCGUUCUUUGAAGGAAGACUUGGAGUUUGAAGAAAGACUUGGAGAUUCUAUCAUUUGGAAACUCUAUCAGAAGAUGCUUGGAAAACCUCUCUACUCUUGAAAGCGAAGAAUGCACUGAAAGCCAAAGAAGAAGAAGAAGAGGAUGAUCUUACCUAAGUCUUCUCUGUCUUUCACUCCAUGCUUUCGGUUUGUAUUUUACUAAUUUGCAUCAUGCUGCGGUGGAACUCUCUUGUGCUUGCUUUCACUAGCAAUAUGAUCAAUCAUUUGUAUCUACCUUGGUUUGGGAUAUAACUCUUUAGAUAGAUUGGAUUCACUUUCUUGAGUUGUCCAUGGGUUGGCUCUUGAAUGGUUAAUUUGUGUUGAUAAUAAACAAGAACCUUUCACGGGAAAAGCGGAUGAUUUGAAUUGUUGCUAUAAUGGUGACCUUGUGAUUGGUCCCACCUUAGCAGGUUAGGUCCUUUCAGGCUACGAGGUUGGAUUUGUAUGGGAUGCUUUGGACCCACACUAGAAUUUUCUGCUUCCCAAUUGAUUGUGGGUGGUUGGGAUUUGUUAUUUUAGUAGGGAUGGUGGGAGUCCUGAAAUCGUACAUUGUUCUUGGAACUCAAAAUCUAUGGUACUAUGGAUCUGUGGCGACCCUUAAAUCUCUUCUCUGCUAUAUUCCUCUCUUCUAUGGAUUCCAAUGUUAUCCCGGAAGUGUUUAUUUUGCUUGUUAA